AGGCGGGCCUUGAUCCCACGAUAAAUUAAUU
rnacentral:tRNA from 1 species